CUCAAGAGUUGGACUUAUUUCAGUGCUAUCAUACAAUGCUCACUUUCUGUUACGCAAGACAAAGGAAGCCAAGAGCAAAGCAGCUGCUAAAGGCAGUAAAUUUAAUGCCCAAUGGGUGGAGAGAGACGGAGAAGGACGUCCACUGCUAAAAAGAAGCAGAAGUGGAGAGACGAGAAAACAUGCUUCAGCUACAGUUGUUUCUGUGGCUGGCAGUGAGGACACGACUCCUUUUGAGUCAGCUGAGGAGGUUCCCACAGCAGUUACCCAAUCAAACGCUCUCAACAUUCGUUUGACAGUGAGAUGCAGAAACUGCAGGACAUUCUGACCUCAUCAGAUGUUCAAGGCACAAAGUAUCCUUCAACAUCCACAUCAUGGUGCUCGUGUCAAUCUGCAGCCCAAGAUGAGUGUCGGAAAGCAAGGUCUGAACACAUCGACUGCUUGCUGUCCUGCAAUGUGUUUCCAGCCACUGCACAUCUCCUGCCAUCAUUCGCUCAUGUCACAAGAGUGUCUGUGUCUGGACUGAGACAGACAUAAACAUGAGAAACUCUCCCUCCAUAACAGAGUCCUGCAUUGAGGGAAUUUACAAGCCCAUUGAGCCGACGGUGUGCUGUGUGAAAAAAGAAGGCAGAUAUUCACUGGUCAAUCUACAGAUUAUUUUGUGAGAUCUGUCCAUUAAUGCACUUGUGACCCUGAAAACAUCACAGAAUCAGUUGGCCGAGCAAUAAUUUUAGUUUGCAUAAAUGGUAUGAACUAUGGUUUUAUAUUUUAAUUUAUUCUGUCCCUUUGUGUGUUACAAACAAGUAUUGUUCUACUGUUUGAUUUUAGGUCGGUAUGAUUUGCACUUGCCAAACUUGCUGUCCAGAUUAUGUCGGGCACAUUGGACACCUGACAUGAGCGACCUGAUAAGAUUGGACACAUCUGUGAAUGCUGACACUCUGUUUUCAGUGGAUGUCUUCAGGACAUUUGAAGAAAUGAAAACUGUUGCUCCCAGUUUAUCGAGAAGGUUUUCUGCGGAUGUUGGACAGGAGGACUUUCACUUUGGAAGGGCUGGGAAAACACAUGGAGACGUAUUCAAAAGAAGCUUUAUGGAAAACACAUUCUGCAGCUCCAGUGUGAGAAAAUGGCCAGUGUAGAGCACUUCACUUGCCCGGCAUGUUCACCCAUUUACAUAUACGCCCAGUACAUGAUUUCAUCAGUCAAAAGGGUCAGAGGAACCAUAUUUUGAUGCAUCUUCAUUGCCAAGGACACUGAUGUUCACCAUUUUGUUGAUGAGAUCAGGAGUAAAAUGAAAAGCAUUAGUAAAAUAUACAGUGUUUGCACCUUUGAUUUAAAUCCACAAUUUGAAAUGCAGGAUUGUUGCUUUAUUAAAUAGUUAAUGUAUCCCUCAAGACCAGUUGGUAUAAGCUUAUAUAAUACAGACUAGUAUCUUAGUUUGUUACAAGCACUUUAAGCAAUAUGGUUCUCUCUUUCAAGCCGUCUUGUGUUGAAACUGGAUUUGGAUAUGGGUAUGUGUGGUGGAGCCCAAAGUGGGUAGUUAGUAGUCAUUCAUUAUGUAAUAGCAGAUCUCUAUAAUAGAUAGUGACUGUGCUGCAGUUUGUCACCCUGCCUUUCAACUCAUUUGUGUAGCUGGAGUAGAUAAAGCAGAAGAUGUGCCUGAGCCCUGACAAAACCUUAAGUAGUAGUUUGAAAGAAAACCUUUACUGUCUCCAGUCAUUACAAAGAUGUCAGUUGGUGUGAUCUAACCUGACUAGUUGAGGAAAAAUGUCAAAUUUCAGGUUUAGCCAGAAUUAUUUUGUCAUGCAGAGGGAUCUGUGGAGCCAGUCAGUGUCUGCUGCAUGUGAAACUGCCAGAAGAUAAUCAAACUGGAUAAAGAGAUCUUGAGGUGGUUGUUUGCAGACACAGAGAGCUCAAGGCUCUUAUCAUGAACAGGGGAAAUAUUUGCCUAUCCACUGUACCUGCACAAGGAGCUCCAGCAGCCACAAACAGACAGAUCUAUUUAUUAUUCUCUUUUUAUUAUUAUUUUUUAUUCUUUCUGUCUUAUAGUUUGUCUGAGAUUGCACAAAAGAAAGCUGUAAAUAGUGUAAUAUGACGGUACAUUAAUAAACUGUAUAACAUCUCUCUUACAUUAAAACUCCAUUGUCAAUGCUGUUACGGUGUAUGGUGCUCUAGAGAUGAGGCGUAUAUAGAUAUCCACAGAACAGGGUAUUUAAUCAAACGAGGGAGAGAAACAACAAUUACACAUCAAUAAGAACAGACAAGGAGUGAAGGGAGCGAGUCCAUUAUAAAGGGAGUGCAGAUGAUGAAACAAGGAGGAUGAUGGGAAAUGGAGUCUGGGAAAUGUGUGGAUGAACUGAAAUACCAUGAGCAUUAAUAGGACUUUCCUCAAUCACAUAAUUGUGUUGUUAAAAGCCAGGAAUUACAUGCUAACUGUCCAUGCUAUUUGGGUGAACCGCCUUCAUCUUGCUUUAUCCAGCAGAUCAUAGAGCUACAGUUUUAUGUCUGAGUUAUGUGUACAAAACUUUUCAUGAUUUUUCUCACUUUUUAAGAUUGCAAAGGCAGAAAUCUUCUUCUUCUUCUUUUUUUUUUUUUUACAACAGACUUUCAAAAAGUCUCAGAGACUGGAGGAUUUGAGCAGUGAACUGGGGUGUCCUGAGAACAGAUGCAUCAUGGGUAGAUGAUGUCAGACAAUGGGCUACUGAUGAUUCUGUCGGUACCAGAUGUGAUGACCAACAUAACCUUCAGAAAUCAACUGAACUGUUUCUUGGUGUUCAUCAACAAAAGCCUUUAUAAUCAGACUGACAACAACAAAAUUCGACACUUGCUUCAAAAACAAUUGUGGGAAGAGAAGUAAAAACUGUUGCAAACAAUCAAACUCUACAAUGAGCAGGUGCCAGAUGAGGAGCGCAUCGUUGAUGAGAAGGUGGAGAGCUGUGUGUUG